rnacentral:rRNA from 1 species
UACGUACUGUGCGAACGUUAUUCGGAAUUACUGGGCGUAAAGGGUUCGUAGGUGGCCAACUUAGUCAGACGUGAAAUCCCUCAGCUUAACUGGGGAACUGCGUCUGAUACUGGAUGGCUCGAGUGCAGGAGAGGAACGCGGAAUUCCAGGUGUAGCGGUGAAAUGCGUAGAUAUCUGGAGGAACACCGGUGGCGAAGGCGGCGUUCUGGACUGCAACUGACACUGAGGAACGAAAGCCAGGGGAGCAAACGGG